rnacentral:rRNA from 1 species
UACGUAGGGUGCAAGCGUUGUCCGGAAUUAUUGGGCGUAAAGAGCUCGUAGGCGGUUCGUCGCGUCGGCUGUGAAAUCCCGAGGCUCAACCCCGGGCCUGCAGUGGAUACGGGCUGGCUAGAGGCAGGCAGGGGAGAACGGAAUUCCUGGUGUAGCGGUGAAAUGCGCAGAUAUCAGGAGGAACACCGGUGGCGAAGGCGGUUCUCUGGGCCUUACCUGACGCUGAGGAGCGAAAGCGUGGGGAGCAAACAGG